CCAAUAGCGUAUAUUAAAGUUGUUGCAGUUAAAAAGCUCGUAGUUGAAUUUCGGGAUCAAUGUUUCGGUCAUGCCGUUGGUAUGCACUGUUAUUAUUGGUUUCUCACCUUCUAAAGAACCGUAAUGCCAUUAAUUUGGUGUUACGGGGAAUUAGGACUGUUACCUUGAAAAAAUUAGAGUGUUUAAAGCAGGCUCACGCUUGAAUACAUUAGCAUGGAAUAAUGAAAUAGGACAUCCGAUUCUAUUUUGUUGGUUUCUAGGAUCGAUGUAAUGAUUAAUAGGGAUAGUUGGGGGCAUUAGUAUUCAAUUGUCAGAGGUGAAAUUCUUGGAUUUAUUGAAGACUAACUACUGCGAAAGCAUUUGCCAAGGAUGUUUUCAUUAAUCAAGAACGAAAGUUAGGGGAUCGAAGACGAUCAGAUACCGUCGUAGUCUUAACCAUAAACUAUGCCGACUAGGGAUCGGAUGAUGUUAAUUUUUUAAUGACUCAUUCGGCGCCUUACG
rnacentral:rRNA from 1 species